AAGGGAGACCUAAUUCCGGUAGGAGACGAAAAAAAAGUAGUCCCUACCAAGAAUCAAUCCCAAAAGGUCGGAACGAGGUAUGAGGCUUUCAAACUAGGUUCUGGGUUCAUAAAAGACCUGAAUCGGGAACAAGGGCUAUUAGCUCAGGUGGUUAGAGCGCACCCCUGAUAAGGGUGAGGUCCCUGGUUCGAGUCCAGGAUGGCCCACCUGCACAGGUGGCAAAAACAAGAGAAGCGAGGAAUCAGCACCUUAUCUUACUGACAUAGUAAGAGAGAAUGCUGGCUCUGAGUAAAGAGUCCAGAGGAACCUUGAAAACUGCAUAGAGCUAGGUGAAAAAGCCAAAAAAGAAGACCGCAA
rnacentral:tRNA from 1 species